rnacentral:tRNA from 1 species
UGGGGCGUCGCCAAGUGGUAAGGCACCGGGUUUUGGUCCCGGCAUUCGGGAGUUCGAAUCUCUCCGCCCCAGCCA